rnacentral:SRP_RNA from 1 species
UCGUGCUAGAUGGGGAGCUAGCGGUGCCCUAUAACCCGAAAUCCGCUCACGCGGGGUCGAAAAGCCUUUGUGAGAACCGCGGUGGAGAUUGCGCUUUAAUCGCUUAUGAGAGCGGGUGGAACUCGCGUGACAGACGCUUAUGAACCCCGUCAGGUCCGGGAGGAAGCAGCGGUAAGUAAGGCAGUCUGUGUCGUGAGCCAAUCUACUUGUGUCCUCUAGGUGAUGCGUGCUUUCUCUUCGUGAUUCAACUUGGGAUGCACGG